rnacentral:rRNA from 1 species
UGGUGGAGUGAUUUGUCUGCUUAAUUGCGAUAACGAACGAGACCUUAACCUGCUAAAUAGUCAGGCCAGCUUCGGCUGGUUGCAGGCUUCUUAGAGGGACUAUCGGCUUCAAGCCGAUGGAAGUUUGAGGCAAUAACA